UGACAUUAUCUAAUGUCGAUUAGAUUUAGGGUUAAAUUGAUAAAAUCAAAAGAUUUGGAUUAAACUGAUAAUGAGGUUUUUAGGUAAUACGCCGCGAGUUAAACCACACUAUUCAAUAGCUGGGCAAACUGGGCCGGGUCAAAGAGGCCCGCCACCUGUUCGACUCAAUUCUUGCUAUCUGGGUACGCGAAAGCUGGAUUGAUUAAUGGAGCGAACACUAUAUCUUAAACAAUUUCGGAGCGUAAUGUUGUUAGUGGGAGCGCAAUGUUAACUGCGUUUCUGCAGACCGGUGCUAUAAAGAAUGAUAGGAAGUUGUUUGAUGAAAUUCCGGACAGAAAUGUUUCAUCAUGGAAUUCGAUUAUAACAGGGUAUUGUGGAAGUGGGCUGAUGAGGGAAGCGAGGUAUUUGUUUGAUAGGAUUGGGGGAUUGAAGAAUCUUGUUUCUUCGAUGGUUGUGAUUUCUUGGAAUGCCCAUCAGGCUUUAGACUACACAAAAGGGGCUUGUUCCCAUGUCACCAAGUGAAAUUAUCAGCUAAACCAGCCAACAUCCACUUUGUUCUGUAUUUCUUGUUGUUGCAUUACAUGCUGAGUUCUGCAACUGGUUAAAGUUUGUUUCCUACGGUCCUUUUAUAUUAUUCUAUUUCGGCAACUGUUAUUGGAUAGUGAAUGAUGGGUACCAUCAUGACUUAUGGUAAACAUGUUUAAUCAGCAUAUAAGAUUAGAGGUUGUGGUUAUAUAAUCCCAUGUGCGGGCUGUGCUCACUAUUUCCUUUCUUCGUGUGUUUUCAGUGUGGGGGGUAAAAAUUGGUAUGAAGAAGAAGAUCCUGGGUGGUAGAAGCUUUAACUGUCAGAAUUGCUUUCCUAGCUUUCUUGUCAGAUUUUGAUCACCCUAUAGGUUGGAAUUGCUCAAAAGCCAUUAUAUGAAAAGCUCUUCCUAGUUUGCUAGUAUUGACAUUGAAAAUUCAUAAGAAGAAGAUCCUGGGUGGUGGAAGCUUUAAUUGUCAGAAUUGCUUCCCUAGCUUUCUUGUCAGAUUUUGAUCACCCUAUAGGCUGGAAUUGCUCAAAAGCCAUUAUAUGAAAAGCUCUUCCUGGUUUGCUAGUAUUGACAUUGAAGAUUCAUAAGAAGAAGAAGAAGAUCCUGGGUGGUAGAAGCUUUAACUGUCAGAAUUGCUUUCCUAGCUUUCUUGUCAGAUUUUGAUCACCCUAUAGGUUGGAAUUGCUCAAAAACCAUUAUAUGAAAAGCUCUUCCUGGUUUGCUAGUAUUGACAUUGACAGUUCAUAAAAGUCAUCUCAAUCUAAUGAAACUUUAGUUAUGCUCAAAAGUUUAGAAAUACGUAGAUUUGACCACUCAUAGAUGAACUUAAGUUCACACAAGGAUCUGCUUGCAAUGCAACGGUUUCUAUAGAGUUCAUUCCAUGCAGUCAUGCACACUGUAGAUUUCAUUUGCUCGCUUAAACAGUUAGAAAUAAACCUUUUAUCCCCUUUUGUUUUUCAUUUCUGUCCAUUCUCAGUACGAAAGAGCUGAGAAUUUUGCUCGGAUGAUGCCAAUGAUUCAAGGCAAGAAUGUUACCAUUUAUCAAAGGCCAAGCUUGUCCAGGCAAUUGGCUUGCCUCUGGCCAGUUACCAUUUUCCAGUAAGUCCUGUACACAGUACAGAAAUAGGGGAUGGGCUGUAAGCAAGUUAUCUCUUUCACAGUGACAUUUCUUGUGCUGCUCAUGUAACUGUCCCAAAUGCUUGUUACAGAGGUGUUUAGUAGUGCAGAUAUGCAUGGAUAGGAAUAUUCGCUAGUUAUUAGCAAAGGUGUCUCUCUCCCUGUAGCCAGUAGGUAACCUUUACCUAUUCAACAUCCUUAAAAUGUACACAGCUCAUCACUGGCGGUAUGUUAUAAUGUAGUAUUAUUAAUAGAACAGACACAUUUAUUCAAACUCUCUUGUUUUUCAAUUUUUUUGGCUUUGUGCUACACUAUAUGCUCAUGAUUUCUUUUCAUCGUUCGUUGCUGCUGAUUAUUGUUGUUUGUGAGUGAAACACAGGAUUUUAUGGAGGAACUCUUGGUUCGCUUGUUUCGACAAGUGCUGCGCUGUCUCAUAUUGCUCAAGAAAAUUGUUGUGCGGCAUUCUCUGCAAAUCAACUAGUUUCUUGGCCUAUAUUUAGCAACUGAGGAUGCUCUUGUUGUUGCUACUUGCUAGAAAAUGUAUGUGUUGUUUUGAAGCGUGUGCGGUGUGCUUGCAAAUAAAGAUGAAUAAUAAAGGCCCAAUUUUACAACUUUCUCGGAAUACAGGGAAGAUAAAAUUGGUCCUCGAGAUGUAGAAUCUUCUUACAGAAAUACAAGUAAAAUGAAGUCAUAAAUAUGCUCUUUGAUGAGAGGAGUUUACCUUUGUAAAGGGUUAGGUUUGAGCAAUACAUCAGUAUAGUGUCUCUACUUUUGGUUCUACGGGUCCUGCUGCUGCUGCUGCUGCUGCUGCUGCAAAUAUCAGGAUGAAGGUUCGCGCAAAUUCUGCUCCAACCUGAGUGUGUGUCUAAUGGCAAUUUAUAAGUAAAUUGUGAUGGUGUUGGACUAAGUUUUAAACUCAAAGAAGCAAGGAAAAUAGUAAAUCACAUUAACCAUCAAA